rnacentral:rRNA from 1 species
GUGGGGAAUUUUGGACAAUGGGCGCAAGCCUGAUCCAGCCAUGCCGCGUGUGGGAAGAAGGCCUUCGGGUUGUAAACCACUUUUGUCAGGGAAGAAACGGUCCUUACUAAUAUUAGGGACUAAUGACGGUACCUGAAGAAUAAGCACCGGCUAACUACGUGCCAGCAGCCGCGGUAAUACGUAGGGUGCAAGCGUUAAUCGGAAUUACUGGGCGUAAAGCGUGCGCAGGCGGCUAUGCAAGACAGAUGUGAAAUCCCCGGGCUCAACCUGGGAACUGCAUUUGUGACUGCAUGGCUAGAGUACGGUAGAGGGGGAUGGAAUUCCGCGUGUAGCAGUGAAAUGCGUAGAUAUGCGGAGGAACACCGAUGGCGAAGGCAAUCCCCUGGACCUGUACUGACGCUCAUGCACGAAAGCGUGGGGAGCAAACAGGAUUAGAAACCCUGGUAGUCC